UACGUAGGGGGCAAGCGUUGUCCGGAUUUAUUGGGCGUAAAGGGCGCGCAGGCGGCGCUUCAAGUCCGUUGUGAAAUUUCAGGGCUUAACCCUGACGGGUCAACGGAAACUGAAGGGCUAGAGUGCAGCAGAGGAAAGCGGAAUUCCCGGUGUAGUGGUGAAAUGCGUAGAUAUCGGGAGGAACACCAGAGGCGAAAGCGACUUCCUGGCCUGUUCUUGACGCUGAGGCGGCGAAAGCUGGGGGAGCAAACGGG
rnacentral:rRNA from 1 species